rfam:Schistosoma margrebowiei strain Zambia genome assembly, scaffold: SMRZ_contig0000009
UCCCAGGUGACGAGUCCAAAAUAGGACGAAACAUGCUUCCUAGAU